CGGCCCCGCGGGCCGCGGGAGCGUGAAGUGUGGGGCGAGGGCUCCCGCGCUUACAGACCCAGGGGCCCCCCAGAGGCUUCCCGGGUCUGAAGCACUUCCCGGGCCCCGCUGGGAGCAGCGCAGGGCACCCGCGGGAGCCCGGCCUGGGAGCACUCCGUCCUGAGCCCAGCCGGCCUCUACCUCCUGCUCUGGGCAGAUGAGGAAACAGCUAAAACACUUGGAGCUGCAUGGGCGAUAUUGUGGGUGCUAAGCCUGGAGAGGUGGGGGUCCGCCCUGCCCUGUAUGACAACACCUCCCACCACCACCACCACCUGCCACCACUUGUCUUCCCAGUCUCUUGGAGCAUUGCUGUUUGGUGCCCUGGACUAACCACCCUGGAGUAAACUGCUCGCAGUGGUGAGAAUACGGAUUCCUCAACUCUGCCCAGGAGCAUCAAAAGCUAAAACUCAGGAAGAGGCAAGACAGGGAAGGGCGGUCCAGCAGAAGGAACAGCCAGUGCAAAGGCCUGGAGAAUAUAGAAGCUGCCAUCAGCUUACUGCCUUUCCGACGGGGGCCUGGAGGCCUGCAUGAAGUUUUAUCCAAGGGGGCCGAAACCAAUGACAGGUGUCCUUAUGAGGGAAGACGCUGACCCGGAGAAGGUCACGGGGAAGCAGCAGAGGUUGAAGUGAUGCAGCCGCAAGCCAAGGAAGCCACCAAGGAAGACAAAGUGGAAGAAGCAGGAACAGAUUCUCCCCUAGAACCUUCUGAGGGAGCC